GCAUUAUAUAUGAACUACAUUUUCAAUGCAUUUUUGAAUAAAUUAAUAGAUCCAGAAAACAAAUAUGCUGAAUGAAUAUUGCUGAAUGUACAAGUUCGAAUGAUUCAGAUACUCUUGUUUUUCUAUCCUCCACCCCCCCCCCCCCCCCCCCCCCCCCCCCCNNNNNNNNNNNNNNNNNNNNNNNNNNNNNNNNNNNNNNNNNNNNNNNNNNNNNNNNNNNNNNNNNNNNNNNNNAGUGUGUUUGUCUCGGAUGAGCAGUGUUUUCUCCAGUAUGCCACCACCUUUUGGAACAGCACAAGCUUUCCUAUUGAGACUAGCCCAACUUGAAGCUCAGCUAGUUUUGAACCUGAUUAGUAACGUUGCAUCUGGAAAUAAUAGUGGUUAUGGGAACCCUUUUGUUCCUUUAAAUUUCUUACAGCCUGUUGGCAUUCAAAGAUCCUCAUUUUUGAGCAUGUACCAGUGCCCAGGGGGUUUUAAAAACAUGGAUUCCACACCUCACAUGGUUAGUCAUCCUUCAACAACAGUCACAGAAAUUAAUUCAGUCAUUGCCAAUAAGGAGAGUGGUGCACUUCUGGCAAAAGAGAUUAUUCAGGAGAAAACACUAGGUCCCAUCAUGAAUAAUACAACAUUGCCACUGCCAACAUCUGAGGAAGCUCUUUUUAGAUCCAGUCCCAACCAUCUAGGCAAACAUUUCGCCUUAAAACCACAUAUGGACUGUUCUCAAUACCAGUCAGUGACAGCCAAAGCAAUGAUGCCUCCUGAUAAACCACAGAUUGGAGAAGCAGAGCCAAAGCAACAAACAAUGCUGCAGUAUCCAACAGAAAGUCUGAUCAAAGCUUUAACCAGCCUUGGCCUUUCUCUUGAGGAUCUAGAAUUACUCAGUCAUUGCCCAGAAAACCAGUUAACAACAGAGAAUCUCCCCUUCAUUAUAAAAGACAUUCAACAGCGCAAAGGAACAAAGGACAUUAAAUAUGGCCAUGCUAGAUGUAUCUCAUCUGAUCAAGUGGGAGAGUCAUCAUACACUCAUGGGGAACAGAGGAAUCCGAGGAUUAUAAAUGGUGAAUGGCAAGAAUCCCAUUCCCAGAGAUCUCUCAGCCCUGAAAGAUGUCGCUCAUCUAAAGUCAUUUAUAAGCACUUCUCGACCCAAUCUAGAACACUAAGAACAAGACAUUCAUCAGGAAGAGGAUCAAAUUCCUUCCUAAAGAGGCUGCAACAUGAGCCUGCUGAGGUCACCGGCUGGAGGCCUGGUUCAGUCUAUUUUCCCCCUCGAUCAAAACGCAGCAUAAGCCACAGCUUUGUCUCUCUAGACUGUAAUAAAGCAAUACAUUAUACUACACAAAGACCCUUGUCCUCUCCACACAGAUCCAACACUUACAAUGCCAUGACAAAAAGUCAUCAACAGUCUUCAUUUCCAGUCAAAUCUGCAAAAUCAGAAGUAACCGCUGAAUCCAUCAACAUUCAGAUGCCAGUAACUAAGACGACUGCAAAAACAUUAGCACAAACUAAGGGUGUGAUUCGUGUGUCUGGAAUCCCUCUUGAUUACUCUCAGAGUGAACUCAUCAAAAUGGCAUCUCCGUUUGGUCACUCUGUUGAGGUUUUAAUGGCGACUGAGGUUUACACAACAACCUGUCUAGAAUGGAAGAAGGCUUUACUGAAGUUUCCAACUGAAUUCUCAGCCGAGGAGAUGGUGAAGGUUUACUCUGCUAUCCCAGUUCACAUGAGACAGCAAAGUUUGGAGCUGGUGUCCCAAACUGUUGACUUUAGUUCACCUGUGUCAGUGUUUCAUGCUUUUGCGGGGCCAUCAUUGUCAAAUGGGCUGCUAACAGCUUUGGACCAUUUGCUGGUUGUAUGUAAUGUUCCCAAUCAGCCCAGUGCUGCUACAGGAGUGCUACGGCUGCUAAAGCCUUUUGGACAAGUUUUCAGAGCUCUGGUACUUCAUGGAAACAAGGUGGAUGUUGAUCAGUGCCUUGGGAACAAUAGCAGCAUCCAGAUGGUUUUAGAGAUGGAAUCCGCUUCUGUUGCUUUAUCUGUAUAUGAGUGGUCUCAAAAAAUUCCUUGUCUUUAUCACAACCAUCAUCUGUCUUUCCUCAGAGGAUGUAAUAUACAGAAAAAUACAUCUGAGGUCCAUUCAGCCUAAUAUCCUCACUGUUUUUUUAGUCCCCUUAAAUAUUGUAUAUUUUCAUUAUCUUUGUAAUAAAAUAAAAUGAAACAAGGUCAUAAGAAGCAUUAUUAUUUGUCUUUCUCCUUUUAUAAAAUUAUAUAUUUAUUGAGCAGC
ensembl:lncRNA